rnacentral:lncRNA from 1 species
GGGUGUCAUAAAUAUACUUAAGCUUAAAAAUAUCUAUUGAAUAAGAUCCCGACUAAAGUUAAUUGAUUAAGUAUUAAAAUAAAAUAUGAGUGCAAAUUUUCAAAAUGUUUUCCUUUUAUGAUUCUAUUUUAAUUUCUUCCCCAUUCCCCACCCUUAUAAGCCUUUAGGUGAGCUUCCCUUAAAAAAUGAAACUAUAUUAGGAUAUUUAGGCAUGUCACUUAAAAUAAAAUGGCCAAUUGUUCCCUUUUUCAUCUUUAAGUUCAUUGUUCAUCUCUAAUACUAUUUUGCUUUAUUUUUUGAGCUCUGAAGUUUUUAAAAUCUAUCUUAUAAUUUACCAUAAAAUCUAGACUCUAACUAUCAAGUAAGAGAGCAUAAUAAGGAGGGGAAAUGGGGAUAAAUUGGUCCUUUUAUAGAUGCUAUAUAUGCAAAUAUCUUAAUGUGUGAUAGUCAAUAAUUGACACUAGUGAUGAAAUAUUUCUUUGAUUGACAAAAAUCAUACACCUCUUAAUGAGGGUCAUAUCCAAAGUGUUGGCCUAAUAUGAUUAGGUAAUAAUAUACACUUAAAAUAUGCGUACAAAAAGGAUGGAAUUUAGAUUUUGACCUAUUAUCCAAAUGCCUCCCUA